rnacentral:rRNA from 1 species
GAUGAACGCUGGCGGCGUGCCUAAUACAUGCAAGUCGAGCGAAUGGAUUAAGAGCUUGCUCUUAUGAAGUUAGCGGCGGACGGGUGAGUAACACGUGGGUAACCUGCCCAUAAGACUGGGAUAACUCCGGGAAACCGGGGCUAAUACCGGAUAACAUUUUGAACAACAUGGUUCGAAAUUGAAUGGCGGCUUCGGCUGUCACUUAUGGAUGUACCCGCGUCGCAUUAGCUAGUUGGUGAGGUAACGGCUCACCAAGGCAACGAUGCGUAGCCGACCUGAGAGGGUGAUCGGCCACACUGGGACUGAGACACGGCCCAGACUCCUACGGGAGGCAGCAGUAGGGAAUCUUCCGCAAUGGACGAAAGUCUGACGGAGCAACGCCGCGUGAGUGAUGAAGGCUUUCGGGUCGUAAAACUCUGUUGUUAGGGAAGAACAAGUGCUAGUUGAAUAAGCUGGCACCUUGACGGUACCUAACCAGAAAGCCACGGCUAACUACGUGCCAGCCGCCGCCGUAA